AGCACGAGCCCGAAGCGACGAUGAUUUCCCUGCUUCGCCGCGCCCUCGCCCCCUCCCCGCCGCCGGCCGCCUCGCGGUGGCGGCGGACCCUCCUCGCGGCGCUCCUCUCCCCGCCGCCGGCCCCUCCCGGCCCCGUGCGCCGCGCGCCGGCGCAGGAGCCGCCGCGGCGGUCGUUCCGCGGCACGCCGAGCCCGCUGUGGUUCAGGGCCACCGCAGCCUCGUGGGCUGGGUCUGGACUGGUCGCGGGCGUGGCGUCGGGGGAGGACGGCGGGCUGGAGAUCGCGAAGCUGGGCAUCUCCGGGCGGAUCGUGGAGAAGCUCGCCGCGCGGGGCAUCACCAGGCUCUUCCCCAUCCAGAGGGCUGUUCUUGAGCCAGCAAUGCAAGGAAAAGACAUGAUUGGCCGUGCUCGAACAGGAACUGGGAAGACCUUGGCUUUUGGUAUUCCUAUUAUGGACAGGAUUAUUAGCUACAAUGAGAAGAAUGGUGUGAUGUGUGCAGAAGCAGUAGGAAUCCUUUAGCCAUAGUCUUGGCGCCAACAAGAGAACUUGCUCGGCAGGUUGAGAAGGAAUUUAGAGAAUCUGCUCCGUUGGACACUCUCUGUGUCUAUGGAGGUGUUCCUAUCAAUCAGCAAAUCAGAGUUCUUAACUAUGGUGUUGACAUAGUGGUUGGGACUCCAGGUCGAAUUAUUGAUCUUUUGAGAAGAGGUGUUUUAAACCUUUCAGAGAUCCAGUUUUUGGUACUAGAUGAAGCUGAUCAGAUGCUGGCUGUGGGUUUCGAUGAAGAUGUUGAGGUGAUCAUGGAGCAGUUGCCACAGAACCGUCAGAGUAUGCUGUUCUCUGCAACAAUGCCUAGUUGGAUAAGAAAAAUUUCAAACAAGUACUUAAAGGAUCCAGUUAUAAUUGACCUUGUGGGUGACUUCUUGUCUUCCUUUUCUUGUUACUUUUAUCUUACUUUUCCUAGCUUCUCAUGGAAAUCAUGCGCCCUGUUGUAUACUAGUAUAUAUGGAGUCCUGUCUUGGAUAGAUCUUCCUGGGACUACAGACAUUGUUUGAUGCGUCAGAUAAGCAUCAAAGUUUUCCUUCAUAGAAAAAGGAACACCUAAUCAGCACAUAAACUUUAUUAUCUGGAUUUCUUCUCAGCACAGCAUAUGUUACAUUCUUUCCCAGACAUUUACUUCUCUGCUUCCUCAGGUUGGUGACUCAGACCAGAAAUUGCCAGAAGGAAUCUCUCUCUAUUCCAUUGCCUCUGACAACUUUGGGAAGCCAUCACUUCUUGGUCCAUUGAUUAAAGAGCAUGCUAAGGGUGGAAAAUGCAUUGUGUUUACUCAGACUAAACGAGAAGCAGAUAGAUUGGCAUAUGCUAUGGGCAGGAGUUAUCCAUGUCAGGCGCUACAUGGGGAUAUUUCACAGAAUCAAAGAGAGAGGACACUCUCAGGAUUUCGCGAUGGCCGCUUCAAUAUCCUUGUGGCAACUGAUGUUGCAGCUCGUGGAUUAGACAUUCCCAAUGUUGAUCUGGUGGUACAUUAUGAGAUUCCAAAUACCUCAGAGUUGUUUGUUCACAGAUCUGGGAGAACUGCACGAGCAGGGAAGAAAGGCAGUGCAAUUUUGAUAUAUACAUAUGAGCAAACUAGAGCUGUAAGGGUCAUUGAGCAAGAUAUAGGAUGCAGGUUCACAGAGCUUCCAAAGAUGGCAGUUGCAGAUGAGGCUGCAGACAUGUUUAAUGUCAUGAGAGAUACUCGCUCUAGAUCAGUUGGAAGCAGAAGAACGGGUGGGUCUUUUGGCCGUGAAAGUUAUGGUGGCUUCGGAAAUCACCGCUCCAGAGCCUUUGGUGAUUUUGACAGUUUUGGUGGUUCGUUUGAUCGUGGUGGUGGGUUCAGCGACUCUGGUUCGAGAUAUCGUGGUGGGUCUGGAGGUUUCAGAAGACCUUCCAAUGAGUUUGGCAGGUCUAGUUUUGGUCGUUCUGAUAGAUUUGGCGACUUCGGAGAAGGGGAUUUCAGCAGGCACGACAGCUCUGACUUUGGCCGUUCCCGGAGCUCCGAUGAUCCAGGCUCCUCACGUUAUGGCAGAGGAUCCGGUGGCUUUGGCGCUUCAGAUUUCGGCAACUUCGGCGGCUUCAAGGAUUCCAAGCGAUGAGUGGAAUAUUGGUUUUCUUGUACAGUUCUGAACCUUUUCUAACUCCUGUUGUUCCUUCCAUGCCUGAGAGAACAAGAUACCGGUUUUGUUGCGCUUGUCACCUAAUCACGAGUAGUUUGGUUGUGUAGGGUUUGCUUCAGAACAAAUGUUGUAGUUGUAAUUUGUUUAUGUGCCUACUGACAACUGUAUGUUUUGAUCCCGUUCUCGUUAAUAAAUCUGAUAAAACUAAACCCUUUUUUGGUUUC